UACGUAGGUGGCGAGCGUUGUCCGGAAUUACUGGGCGUAAAGAGCGCGUAGGCGGUUUUUUAAGUCAGAUGUGAAAAUCCAGGGCUUAACUCUGGGCGUGCAUUUGAAACUGGGGAACUAGAGUGCAGGAGAGGUAAGUGGAAUUCCUAGUGUAGCGGUGAAAUGCGUAGAUAUUAGGAGGAACACCAGUGGCGAAGGCGACUUACUGGACUGUAACUGACGCUGAGGCGCGAAAGCGUGGGUAGCGAACAGG
rnacentral:rRNA from 1 species